rnacentral:rRNA from 1 species
UACAGAGGGUGCAAGCGUUAAUCGGAAUUACUGGGCGUAAAGCGUGCGUAGACGGUUAUUUAAGUCAGGUGUGAAAGCCCCGGGCUCAACCUGGGAAUUGCAUUUGAGACUGAAUAGCUAGGGUGCGGAAGAGGGAAGCGGAAUUUCCGGUGUAGCGGUGAAAUGCGUAGAUAUCGGAAGGAACACCGGUGGCGAAGGCGGCAUCCUGGACCGGUAUUGACGCUGAGGCGCGAAAGCCAGGGGAGCAAACGGG